AGUGAACGCUGGCGGUAGGCCUAACACAUGCAAGUCGAACGGCAGCACAGUAAGAGCUUGCUCUUACGGGUGGCGAGUGGCGGACGGGUGAGGAAUACAUCGGAAUCUACUUUUUCGUGGGGGAUAACGUAGGGAAACUUACGCUAAUACCGCAUACGACCUACGGGUGAAAGCAGGGGAUCUUCGGACCUUGCGCGAUUGAAUGAGCCGAUGUCGGAUUAGCUAGUUGGCGGGGUAAAGGCCCACCAAGGCGACGAUCCGUAGCUGGUCUGAGAGGAUGAUCAGCCAAACUGGAACUGAGAAACGGUCCAGACUCCUACGGGAGGCAGCAGUGGGGAAUAUUGGACAAUGGGCGCAAGCCUGAUUCAGCCAUACCGCGUGGGUGAAGAAGGCCUUCGGGUUGUAAAGCCCUUUUGUUGGGAAAGAAAAGCAGCAGGUUAAUACCCCGCUGUUCUGACGGUACCCAAAGAAUAAGCACCGGCUAACUUCGUG
rnacentral:rRNA from 1 species